GUCCUUAAUCUCCCCUCGCUUAUGAUUAUUUCUACGGUCUUUUUAAGGUACAAUCGCCGUUGUAUUCGUUAGCGGUCGGUUUCCGUCGAAUCGAAUCCUCGGUCGCGUUUCGGUCAGGUUGGGGAAAGCAGCAGUAGAUUAUGCAACCGAUUGUUCUCAAUCGAAUCGCACCUGCUUGUUAACUGGCCUUUGUGUCAUUGCUCAAUCUUUCCCGUGCCCGCCUUUUUUGUCGCGUUUGUUCUUUUUUUUUGGGCUCCUGGAGUAGUUGUUUGUCGUUCGGUCAAAGCUUCAUCGAUCGAAAUUCACGUGAUCUGAUGUUCGGGAUGACUAGAUGGGGAUGGUUUCUGCAUGCUCGAUGUUGAUAUCGAUGUCAUCCGCUCUCGCUUUCUCCGUUCCUGCGAUUGAAUUUGCUGGCAAAUAUCCGUUGAUUCGGUUAGAAGGCCGUAUUCAUCUCUUCUUGAUAUUGCAUUUGUUGUGCUGUCAGAAAACGCAGAGAGAGAGAGAGAGAGAGACGGAGAAUGUCGGGAAGAAAUCGGGGUCCACCUCUUCCACCGAAAGGUGCUCCUCGUGCGGGGCUUCCCCCUUCCAUCCGGGAGCCUCCAUUUGGUAGAGGCCUAGGUGCAAUGCCGCAUCCAGCUUUACUGGAGGAAUUGCGCGAAUCCCAACUUGGGAUAGGCCUGGGAAGGCGGCCUCCUCACCCUGCCAUUAUCGAGGAGCGUCUUGCUGCCCAACAUGAAGAAAUUCAAGGUCUUUUGGUUGAUAAUCAGAGGUUGGCCGCGACGCAUGUUGCGCUUAAGCAGGAACUGGAAGCCGCCCAGUAUGAGUUACAAAAGAUGGUGCAGAUCUCGGAUUCCUUACGAGCAGAAAAGGAUGUUCGGAUGAGGGAGUUGUAUGAUAAAUCAGUGAGGCUAGAAGUGGAUCUGCGUGCUGUGGAGGCUAUGAGGGGUGAGCUUGUUCAGGUCAAUGCAGAUAUUAAGGAGCUUACGGGUGUUAGACAAGAGCUUAGUGGGCAGGUGCAAGCAAUGACUCAAGAUUUGGCUAGGAUGACGGCCGACCUACAGCAGGUGCCAGCAUUGCGGGCAGAGAUUGAGACCAUGAAGCAGGAGGUACAGCGUGCUAGAGCUGCUAUUGAGUAUGAAAAGAAAGGUAGUGCCGACAAUUAUGAGCAUGGUCAGGUGAUGGAGCAGAAUUUGAUUUCCAUGGCCCGUGAGUUGGAGAAGCUUCGAGCGGAGAUUGCUAAUGCAGAGAAGAGAGCUCGUGCUGCUGCUGCUGUUGGCAAUCCAGGCCACAACGCAGCUAACAACAAUCCUGAAGUUAGUUAUGCCGGAAACCCUUAUCCAGCUGGCUAUGGCCUUAAUCCUGUUCCUGCUGGUCUGGAAGGCUACACCCAAUUUGGACACAUGCCUGCUGCUUGGGGUGCAUAUGCUCCUCCUGGACACAGAUAGACUAGAUUUGCAUAUCGAUGUUACUGCUUCUGUGCUCCAGCACCUGCAUAUGGGCAAUGCUUCAGUUACUGGUCAUUAUCGAAUGAGUGGGAGAGUGCUGCAAGGGUGAUUGAAAGGACCAUCACUUGACAACCGACAGAAGAGCAUGCUGGGCGAACCUUUUGCAGCUGAUACAAAGACAGGUUGAGGAAUCUGGGGGACCACAUUCUUGUGGGGAAUAUUUUUUGCUGAGCAGUGAAACCUACGACUUCUGUCGACUUGGUUCGUUCAAGUUUCGAAUGCUUUGGCACGAUAAGGCAAAGGUCGCUGUGGCUCGCACUUUGCCAAUUAUGGAUCGUGAAUAGUAAUACUGCGUGUAGCCUCUUUGGCGGCCCACUUCUUCCCUCGCUCUUUUCCUCCGCCCAUUUCUCUCUUUCUCUCGGCCCGGCCUUCUUCCCUCCCAACUUUCUCUCUCACAAGCUCGAGCAGCAGCAAGGUCGUGAGGGUGAGCGAUGAGCGGGGGAAGGACGCGUGUCCCAAUGUAAAUGGCGAGAAUUCCCCUCCAACCGCCUGCAGAGAGCGU